AUUGAACGCUGGCGGCAUGCCUUACACAUGCAAGUCGAACGGUAACAGGUCUUCGGAUGCUGACGAGCGGCGAACGGGUGAGUAAUACAUCGGAACGUGCCCGAUCGUGGGGGAUAACUACUCGAAAGAGUAGCUAAUACCGCAUACGAUCUACGGAUGAAAGCGGGGGAUCUUCGGACCUCGUGCGGACGGAGCGGCCGAUGGCAGAUUAGGUAGUUGGUGGGAUAAAAGCUUACCAAGCCGACGAUCUGUAGCUGGUCUGAGAGGACGACCAGCCACACUGGGACUGAGACACGGCCCAGACUCAUACGGGAGGCAGCAGUGGGGAAUUUUGGACAAUGGGCGAAAGCCUGAUCCAGCAAUGCCGCGUGCAGGAUGAAGGCCUUCGGGUUGUAAACUGCUUUUGUACGGAACGAAAAGACUCCUUCUAAUACAGGGGGUCCAUGACGGUACCGUAAGAAUAAGCACCGGCUAACUACGUGCCAGCCGCCGCAGUAAAAC
rnacentral:rRNA from 1 species